rnacentral:rRNA from 1 species
AGAGUUUGAUCAUGGCUCAGGACGAACGCUGGCGGCGUGCCUAACACAUGCAAGUCGCACGGAACCCGCAAGUCAGUGGCGGACGGGUGCGUAACACGUGAGGAACAUGCCUAUCGGCGGGGGAUAGCCGGCCCAACGGCCGGGUAAUACCGCGUACGCUCACUGGGGGGCAUCCCUUGGUGAGGAAAGCAGCAAUGCACCGAUAGAGUGCCUCGCGGCCUAUCAGCUAGUUGGUGAGGUAAUGGCUCACCAAGGCAACGACGGGUAGCUGGUCUGAGAGGAUGAUCAGCCACAUUGGGACUGAGACACGGCCCAGACUCCUACGGGAGGCAGCAGUGGGGAAUCUUGCGCAAUGGCCGAAAGGCUGACGCAGCGACGCCGCGUGUGGGAUGACGGCCUUCGGGUUGUAAACCACUGUCGGAAGGGACGAAUGGCCCGCAAGGGCAGUGACGGUACCUUCAAAGGAAGCACCGGCUAACUCCGUGCCAGCAGCCGCGGUAAUACGGAGGGUGCGAGCGUUGUCCGGAAUCACUGGGCGUAAAGGGCGCGUAGGCGGCCCGGUAAGUAGGGGGUGAAAUCUUGCGGCUUAACCGCAAGGCUGCCUUCUAGACUGCCAGGCUCGAGCACAGUAGAGGCAGGUGGAAUUCCCGGUGUAGCGGUGGAAUGCGUAGAGAUCGGGAAGAACAUCAGUGGCGAAGGCGGCCUGCUGGACUGUAGCUGACGCUGAGGCGCGACAGCGUGGGGAGCAAACAGGAUUAGAUACCCUAGUAGUCC